GUGGAGUGAACUAUCCUGUCGUCGCUACAAAAUCUUUGCUCAAAAUGGCGAUUCUCUGAUUAACUCAAUAAAAGGAACAAGAAGAUAAAUUCACUGAAGCAUGCUGAAGACAUGGACGAAACUGCAAAAACUGGAAUUAAUCAAAGGUCAACUUUGAGAAGAGAGGAAAUACAGGACGAGAUGAUGAGACUGAGGAGGAGAAAAGGAGAUGAUGAUGGAGAUGUGAGAGGAAGAGCAGCUCACACCUUAAUUCAUGGCACUCUGAUGACUCACACAUGGUCAUGUGAUCUUUCAUGUGACUUUUAAAUGUGAACUAUCCAAAGAGGCUACCUACCAAAACCUACCUGAGACUCCACACUGAACAACUUCUUUUCACCUGCCAGAGAGGUUCUUAUGUGGGAGGGCAUUACACAUGGCAGGUUCAUUCUAUCUGCCCAGACACCACCCCUCUAUUCAAGCACCCUGACCAACCAGUAAGUUGCUGGUGCAGCUACUUCAUCCCUCACUGCCUUCCCACCCACAAACACUGUGUUCCUGAAAAUGUGUGACCAAAAUGGAGGCACCACUACUGAGUCAGCAUCCAAGUUGUAAGCUAAAUUAAAGGAGUCAUUAAACAUCAAACGCUUCUCAUACCCUGUUUUCAUACAGUUAAUUAGAAAUCUAUGAAGUCACCAGCUACUGUAAUUUUCCCAGAGGAAAAAAAAUAAUCUAAAAUAAUCUUUUUUCUCUUUUUAGUAAAAUAAAUAGUUGUUUUGUUUUUUUUCUAUAGGAACAGCUGAACAGUGAGUUUGCUUGAA